rnacentral:rRNA from 1 species
AUACGUAGGGAGCGAGCGUUGUCCGGAAUUACUGGGCGUAAAGGGCGCGUAGGCGGCGCUUCAAGUCGUCUGUCAAAUGGAAGGGCUUAACCCUUUUUCGCAGACGAAACUGGAGAGCUUGAGAAGCAGAGAGGCAAACAGAAUUCCUGGUGUAGCGGUGAAAUGCGUAGGUAUCAGGAAGAAUACCAGUGGCGAAGGCGGUUUGCUGGCUGCAUACUGACGCUGAAGCGCGAAAGCCAGGGGAGCGAACGGGAUUAGAUACCCCGGUAGUCCUGGCAGUAAACGAUGUAUGCUGGGUGUGAGACUAGCGAUAGUUUCGUGCCGAAGUUAACGCGAUAAGCAUACCGCCUGGGGAGUACGGUCGCAAGAUUGAAACUUAAAGGAAUUGGCGGGG